GACGAACGCUGGCGGCGUGCUUAACACAUGCAAGUCGAACGGAAAGGCCCUGCUUGCAGGGUUCUCGAGUGGCGAACGGGUGAGUAACACGCGGGUGAUUAGCCCUGCUCUUCGGGUUAAGCCUCGGAAACUGGGUGUAACACCGGACAGGAGAUAUAUUUAACGUGAUGGUUGGAAAGUUUUUUCGGGGUUGGAUGAGCUUUAGGCCUAUCUGCUUGUUGGUGGGGUAAUGGCCUACCAAGGCGGCGGAGGGUAGCCGGACUGAGUGGGUGGCCGGCCACAUUGGGACUGAGAGACGGCCCAAGCUCCUACGGGAGGCAACAGGGGGGAAGAUUGCACAAGCGGCGCAAGGCUAAUGCUGCAAGGCCGCGUGGGGGAUGACGGCCUUCGGGUUGUAAACUCCUUUCGCUAGGGACGAAGCUUUUUGUGACGGUACCUAGAUAAGAAGCACCGGCUAACUACGUG
rnacentral:rRNA from 1 species